AGCACUUGUAGUUUGUUUUUGUUUAAUCUGUGGGCAAAGACUUACAGACAGGUGCAAAAAUAAAUCCUCUUUUGCAACCCAGAACUCAUUGUUCAGUAUGAGUUUUGAUACAUAUAAGAAGGAACAUG